CUACAAUGGUCGGUACAAAGGGUUGCCAAGCCGCGAGGUGGAGCUAAUCCCAUAAAACCGAUCGUAGUCCGGAUCGCAGUCUGCAACUCGACUGCGUGAAGUCGGAAUCGCUAGUAAUCGUGAAUCAGAAUGUCACGGUGAAUACGUUCCCGGGCCUU
rnacentral:rRNA from 1 species